GGUUGUGGCUCAGAGGUAGAGCGCUUGUCUAACAUACGUGAGGCACUGGGUUUGAUCCGCAGCACCA
rnacentral:tRNA from 1 species